rnacentral:rRNA from 1 species
ACGUAAUAGAUACCCAGGUAGUCCACGCCCUAAACGAUGUCUACUAGUUGUUGGUGGAGUAAAAUCCAUGAGUAAACGCAGCUAAACGCGUGAAGUAGACCGCCUGGGGAGUACGGUCGCAAGAUUAAAAACUCAAAUGAAUUGACGGGGGCCCGCACAAGCGGUGGAUUAUGUGGAUUAAUUCGAUGCAACGCGAAAACCUUACCUGGCCUUGACAUGUAACGAACUUUCCAGAGAUGGAUUGGUGCUCGAAAGAGAACGUUAACACAGGUGCUGCAUGGCUGUCGUCAGCUCGUGUCGUGAGAUGUUGGGUUAAGUCCCGCAACGAGCGCAACCCUUGCCAUUAAUUGCCAUCAUUUAGUUGGGCACUUUAAUGGGACUGCCGGUGACAAACCGGAGGAAGGUGGGGAUGACGUCAAGUCCUCAUGGCCCUUAUGGCCAGGGCUUCACACGUAAUACAAUGGUCGGUACAGAGAGUUGCCAACCCGCAGGGGAGCCAAUCUCAGAAAGCCGAUCGUAGUCCGGAUUGUAGUCUGCAAC